AGAGACCGUUUGGAGGACGUCGGAGCCGUAGCCGCAGUGGAGGCUGCUGGGGAGGGGUCUGGUCCCUCGCCUGCUUCCCUCAGCCAGAGGAGGAAUGAGGCUCUCAAGAGUUUGUCACCAAAGCUAGUGGCCCUUACACGCGAGGUGCAAUUGUAGAAGACCGAGUACUACACACUUGCCUUGUGAUGCAUGCUCCUGGUUUCUCUCGUGUGUGUGUUGUGUGUGUGUGUAGGCUGUUGUGUAGGAAUUGGGUCAAUUGUGAAGCAGCCCUAAGAGGAACAACUUGUUUUGUGGUGAAGAGUCUAUAUAUGCACCUCAGCCUUUAAGGAAAAUGGUGGCAAAAUGAACUAAGGGAGAGCGGUGGGUACUGUAAUCCUGUAUAAAUAACUUGGGCCCAGAUCAAAUGUGAUGGUGGAUGCACAAAAAGAUGUGUGAUUCUGCAGAGUCCCAUCAUUGCAUUUAAACUCUGCCCUUAGCACUGUGCAUGCAGGGUUAGUGUGUCAGUGUAGAACCGGUUCAGGUGAUGGCUUCCUGGCAUGCAUAUCCUGGCAAGGCAACCCAGCUUCCUUGAGACAGGUGCAUGCAAUGCUGCACAGGUGAUACUUGUUGAUUAGGGCACAUGUUUAAAUUGUGCCCCUUCUUUCAGUACAAGGAGAGGAGAGCUGGUCUUGUGGUAGCAAGCAUGACUUGUCCCCAUAGCUAAGCAGGGUCUGCCCUGGUUGCAUAUGAAUGGGAGACUUGAUGUGUGAGCACUGUAAGAUAUUCCCCUCAAGGGAUGAAGCUGCUCUGGGAAGAGCAGAACAUUUCAAGUUCCCUCCCUGACUGCAUCUCCAAGAUAGGGCUAAGAGAGAUUCAACCUUAGAGAAGCCGCUGCCAGUCUGUGAAGACAAUACUGAGCUAGAUAGACCAAUGGUCUGACUCAGUAUAUGGCAGUUCCCUAUGUUCCUAAGGACAAGUGAAUUGGCAAGACAAGUAAUGGACUCAAGCACCCUUUCAAGAGAGGGUGAAGUGCAAUUCUCUCACUUCCCUAGAGAAAAGGUAUGGAGAAGUUCCAUUAACAUAGGCUUGACUGGAAGACACUAACAAAUCAAUUUCUUCUAUAAAUUAGGCUGAAAGCCUAUGCUUAUGUCACUCUAGAAGCCAAGAGAAGGGCAAAGGUAUAACCCUUGAAAGAGAAUAAGGCCAGGGCCUAUGACACUUUCCACACAAUGUGCUCUUUUACCACAAUGUGCUCUUUACAGUUCCUAUUUGCCACAAAACAUAUGGAUAACUCCCCCAGAAUACUGUUGCUAUCUUGUUAUAGUGUUUUUCCUGUUCUUUGUAAAAUUAUGUAGUGUAUUUCAAAAAUUGUUUUUAGACAAAACUGACUUUGAACAAUUAUUUAUAAAGAAACAUCAGAAAAGUAUUAAAUCUUCAUAUUUCAGGGCAUAAACUAACAGUUAAAGACUCUAAUAUAGACAAUUAAAAUGCUAGAUAACAACUUUAAAAACUAAAGUCAUGCAGCAGUGAUCUAAAAGUGUUCGCUUCAAAGAAAAAUCCCAUUGUAUUCAAUGGGUUCUACACUAAUUGAAUAUGGUUAGAAUUGCAGCUUUUAACAGACUUAAAAGUGGACUUAGAUUUGUGACAUUUGUUAGAAGAGUAAGCAUAGUUACAACAAAAUCUUCAUUGCCAUUUCAGAUGUGAUGUUAGGUAAUAUUUGUAUUUAGGAAAUUUUUGCAAGUUGCAUCCAGGUGUUGGAUUGUGAAUAUUGCACCUACAUUCCAUAUACAAAUUAUCUACCAUACAAAUGAUAGGUAACCUUUAGAGAAACACUGUCUAGGUAGAAAAUGUAUAGAAUGUUUGAAGUAGCCCUAAUGCAUAGUGGUAAAACUCUUCUGCAGACCUAGACAUUUUUGAAAGUUCUCUAAAUUUGUACAGUAUUGUUGGCUGACAUACAGUAUAGUGCCCUGUGAAUCCACAUGUGGGGCACGCAUACUGUGACUAGCUACUGAGCAGCACAUGCUCGCCACUUGCAAACAUGGGACUGUUCCAUGCCUUUUAAAGUGUGCAUCUUGGCAGCUGUGUUGCCACUUCCAUUAUUCCCAAUGGAAGUAACAAUGCAGCAGCAAGGACAUGUUAUUUAGGAGGCAGGGCCAUAACAAUGUUGGAGUGGGCCCAGAGGCAAAAUGUUAAAAUGGGCCCCUUCCUGAUACACACGCACACACACUUCACAAUAUAUAGUGAAGUGGGGGUGGGAUUGUAACCCAGCGAUCUCAUCUCUUGAUCCUUCUGGACUUUUCAAACACGUGGGAAGGAAGGAUCAUUCAGAAUAAUGAAGGAAGCUCGGCGGGUGUUGGAGAGUCAUGUGACUUGCCUCUGGGGGGCCCCUGGAGGUGUGGGGGCCUCCAGGCAACCGCCUCCCCUUGCCUAAUAGUAGUUACGCCCCUGUUAGGAGGCAUGGAACAAUCCCAUGUUUGCAACUGGUGAGCACGGGCUGUUCAAUGGCUUGGUAGCAGCGUGCACACCCUACUUCUGGAUCUGCAUGGCGCUGUGCUGUAUGUCAGCUCUUGUGAUGAUAGCAUGUUACUAUCUAGAUACAGUUCUGCAGACCAGUUAUAUUUGUUCAUCUACACCUAAGCUAUUUAAUCAUAUAUGUGUAUCUGGUAUCCCUGUUUCAGCAUAAAGUAAUGUUUGCAAAACCUAUAAAGACACUAGCAAUGUGUGGUCAUUCUACCUAGUGCUUGACCUUAAAGAACAUAAGAACAGCCCUGCUGGAUCAGGCCCAAGGCCCAUCUAGUCCAGCAUCCUGUUUCUCACAGUGGCCCACCAGAUGCUGCUGGAAGCCACAAGCAGGAGUUGAGGGCGUGCCCUCUCUCCUGCCAUUUCUCCCCUGCAACUGGUUCUCAGAGCCAUCCUGCCUUUUGAGACUAGAGGUGGCCCACAGCCCUCCGACUAGUAGCCAUUGAUAGACCUCUCCUCCAUGAAGUUAUCCAAACCCCUCUUAAAGCCAUCCAGGUUGUUGGCUGUCACUACAUCCUGUGGCAGAGAGUUCCACAAGUGGAUCACGCAUUGUGUGAAAAAGUACUUCCGUUUGUUGGUCCUAGACCUCCUGGCAAUCAAUUUCAUGGAGUGACCCCUGGUUCUAGUGUUGUGUGAGAGGGAAAAGAAUUUCUCUCUCUCCAAAUUCUCCAAACCAUGCAUGAUUUUGUAGACCUCUAUCAGGUCUCCCCGCAGUCAUCUUUUUUCUAAGCUAAAAAGCCCCAGGUGUUGUAGUCUUGCCUCAUAAGAAAGGUGCUCUAGGCCCCUGAUCAUCUUGGUUGCCCUCUUCUGCACCUUUUCCAGUUCAACAAUAUCCUUUUUAAGAUGUGUUGACCAGAAUUGUACGCAGUACUCCAAGUGUGGUCGCACCUUUGUAUAUGACCUUACACACCAGAGUACCUGACAAAGCUUUCAUAAGUUCAUUCUAUAUCAUGGCAAAGCCACUUUUAACACAAUUGCUGAUGACAUUUGUCAAGCUGAUAGGCUUUCACGUGGUUUUUGCAGAAUCAGCUGACCAUAAUAGCUAUCACUAAGUAAUGUCUUUCUCUCAAUUUAUGGUGUGAGACCGUGAUACAUUAAAAUGGUAUUUAAAAUUGCCAGCGUACAAAUAACUCAUAGUGGCCCAACUACUUGUAGAUAAGAGGACAACUCUCUGAAUUUUAUUCUUUAAUAAAAAAAAACUUGCAUUAAAUUUGAAAACAAAGCAGUAAUAUUUUAACUAUAAAAACCUCGAAUGGCACAUUGACUUGUUUCUAGCUCAGCAUGUUUUCAUCAUUUUAGGUAGGAUUUGUAUGUGCCAUUGGAAGUAUUUUAGCAUUUGGUCAUUCUUCUUCCCCGUGUGUGGUGUUGAGUUUUAUAGUAUAGCUAAUAUCCAGACUAACCCUCUGUGACAUGCCGUGUGUGUGUGUGAGAGAGAGAUUUUUAGAAACCACCUCUUCCCUAUGCAGCCACUGUGCAUCCCCAUCUCCCUGGCAGUGUUCCCUCUAAGGCCUGUGCACGUGUUCACAUGGUUUGUUAAAUGUCUGCUCAGUCAAUUUUGGUUCCCACUCAGGUUGAACCAGGAAGGUCCCACUCCAAAUGCAUGUGUGCACACACUGCCUUGAUACUGCCACCUAGAAAAAAAUUGAUUCCACACACUGAUGGGAGGGCAAAAAAAUAGAUAGAACACUGCUCCCUGGGGUUUAGGGAUCCUCAGGGAAAUGUUUUUGGGAAACACAGGAACAUAGGAAGCUGCCAUAUACUGAGUCAGACCAUAGGUCCACCUCGCUCAGUAUUGUCUUCACAGACUGGCAGCGGCUUCUCCAAGGUUCCAGGCAGGAAUCUCUCUCAGCUCUAUCUUGGAGAAGCCAAGGAGCGAACUUGAAACCUCCUGCUCUUCCCAGAGUGGCUCUAAGGGGAAUAUCUUACAGUGUUCACAUGUCUAGUCUCCCUUUCAUAUGCACCCAAGGUGGACCCUGCUUAGCUAAGGGGACAAGUCAUGCUUGCUACCACAAAACCAGGGGAAUCGCUGAAAAUAACUUCUCACCCAACCUCCCGCUACCACAUGUAAUAGAAAACCCUGGCACAUCAGUGGAUGGUUACUCUGGUUCUCGGCUACUGUUACAGAUUUGGACUUUCACAAACUAAUGAAUGUUUCUGGGGGCCUCAAUUCAAAUAUAGCUUGUUGGCAAGUUUUAAGUUCUUAAAGCUCUACUGUAACUAGGAUUUAUCUAUGACUAGAAUUUAUCCAGAGAAUGUCAUCUUUCUGCUAUUAUUUUACCUUACAAGCUGAAGUUCACUUUCAAAGGCAACUCGAGACAGCUUUUUUCCUAUGACGAAUUGGUAACUAGGAACAGGAACUAUGUCCUUUCUGUUUCUCCAAAUUAUUAUUGUUGCAUAAAUCUUUGCAUUCAGUUGUCUACUUCUUUACCAGGUGCUAGGGUAUGCAUUCAUAUUGUAUAAUUUUAUAAGAGGGGUUUACAUCAAUCUAGCAGUGAUAAGACCAUCUGAGAUGGGGGGGGGGAAUUGCUGAGUUUUAAAUAAAGCAAUCAUUCUUUUUCUUUGUGAAUAAGUAAACAUUCAUUUGUCUGUUACAUUUUCUAAGUUUUGCAUGAUUCAAACUAAAUUCAAGUUACAGAACAAUCACAGAGCCCAAACCUUUAAGUUGUUAAAUGUGUCCAGAGUCAAAACUGGGAAAUGAGCUGUUAAGGUUGAUAAUGGGCUGGUGUAUCAGAGCAAGAGCAUAAAAAGACUGAAGGUGAAGAAGCUGAGGUCUAUUGAUGGUGAUCUCAUUACUUUCCCCCCUUGAAUUCUGAGUUUCUCAUCGCCUCACUUUUUUCUUUGAUAGUCCUGCUUUUAUGUUUCUUUCUUGCAGAGACAGAACAGCAACCCUAAUUCUUCCUGGGAAGUUUUGCCUAAGCCCAAUAAUGAAGCAGUAGAUGGAAACCAAAAGAUACCAGCAGCCACUCCAAGAACAGGCAUGAUGUGGUCUCUUCAAUUUACCUGGAGACCAAUCUGACUGCCGCAUUUUAAACUAACUGAAGUUACUGAACUAUGUACAAAGGAAGUCCUACAUAGAGUCCAUUGCAGUAGUCUAGCCUGAAGGUUACCAGCUGAUGCACCAGUUUUGAGGUCAUUCUCUUCAAAGAACAGGCGGAGCCGUCGUAUCAACCAAAGGAUCAGAAGGAUCAGACCUUCUCAGUUGUCACCCCUAGUUUGUGGAACACACUGCCUAUCGGUAUAAGAAGUUUAGCAUAUUUUGAGGCUUUCAGGAUAGCCAUAAAGACCCAUAUCUUCAGCCUGGCAUUUAAUAACAUGUAAAUAGUUUUUAAAUGAGUUUUCUGUUAAUAUUUUGAUUGCUUUUAUUUUAUUAUUUAUGUUAAUAUUGUCAGUGGUUUGAAUUUAUGUGAUUUGAAUUUUUAAUGUACACCCCCCUGAGCCAUUCAAGGAUGGGCAGAUAUAAAGGGGAGAGGGAGAGAGAGAGAAUGAGAAUAAAUGGUUGAUAUUAAGUGU